GGUUUCUGGUAAUCGCGGUCUACCUUGAGUAGGCUGAGGAAAGUCCAAGCUUGCACGGGCUGCGAUGCCCGUAGUGAUCGUACUCGCUGAAAAAAUAAGGCGGGGCACCUUAACGGUGACGGCAAACGAAAGGGCUACGGCCUUUGGCUAUGCCUGAGUAGUUUUGAAAGUGCCACAGAGACGAGGACCGUUGGAAACAGCGGUUGUGGAACGCGGUAAACCCUGCGAGCAGGUAACCCAAAUUUUGGUAGGGGCGCUUCAUGACGGAAAUGAACUAAUCAUGGGGGCGAACUGAUUAACAGUUCGGAGAUAGAUGAUUACCACCGAUUUCAGUUUCCUGAGACUGGAUGACGUACGGAACGUGGCUUAUAGAG
rnacentral:RNase_P_RNA from 1 species